UCCGUAGGUGAACCUGCGGAGGGAUCAUUACCGAGUUUACAACUCCCAAACCCAAUGUGAACGUUACCAAACUGUUGCCUCGGCGGGGUCACGCCCCGGGUGCGUCGCAGCCCCGGAACCAGGCGCCCGCCGGAGGAACCAACCAAACUCUUUCUGUAGUCCCCUCGCGGACGUUAUUUCUUACAGCUCUGAGCAAAAAUUCAAAAUGAAUCAAAACUUUCAACAACGGAUCUCUUGGUUCUGGCAUCGAUGAAGAACGCAGCGAAAUGCGAUAAGUAAUGUGAAUUGCAGAAUUCAGUGAAUCAUCGAAUCUUUGAACGCACAUUGCGCCCGCCAGUAUUCUGGCGGGCAUGCCUGUCCGAGCGUCAUUUCAACCCUCGAACCCCUCCGGGGGAUCGGCGUUGGGGAUCGGGACCCCUCACACGGGUGCCGGCCCCUAAAUACAGUGGCGGUCUCGCCGCAGCCUCUCCUGCGCAGUAGUUUGCACAACUCGCACCGGGAGCGCGGCGCGUCCACGUCCGUAAAACACCCAACUUUCUGAAGGUUGACCUCGGAUCAGGUAGGAAUACCCGCUGAACUUAAGCAUAUCAAUAAGCGGAGGA
rnacentral:rRNA from 1 species